rnacentral:lncRNA from 1 species
GGUGUCCAACGCUGCAUAUUCAUGAUGUGAAAUUAGGCAACACACGCCUAUCGCUACAGUAACCCACUCCAGGGACACAUCCGAGAACCUUUCAGGAUGCAUGUCAGGGGAAGCUGGAGACGACGCUUCUCGGACCCGGAGGAAGCGCGGACUUAGCGGGGACGAGCUGAGGCUGAGGGAAGGAGGGGAGCAGGGGUUUGAGGAGCCCGAGGCCGGCGCCGCCGAGUUCCUCCUUCGCAGGAGAUGGUGCCGGCGGAGGCGCUGCCGCCCGCGGCGCAGGUGGCACCUUGCGUCCCCCGAGAGCGGGCGGAGGCCGGGCUCUGCCGGGGCCAGGCAGCGCUGCAAGGGCGCUCGAAGGUGCACUGUGCCACCCUUGUCUGCAGCUCGAGUUUCAGCGGCGCGUGCUUUUCGCUCUGGGACUUCAGGGAGCAGGGUCGCAAAAGGGCCCCCGUCGUCCUGGUUGGCUCGCAGCAGCAACCUCGCCCCGCCCCCAGUCCCCCUAUCUCGGAGCCACCCUCCUGGGCCUACAGGCGCCGCGGGGCCAGGGACUGGGCGCGGAUCGAGGCGGGGAGGGACCUGGAAAAACCACCCAGAUUGCAUUGCAGUGGGUGAGGCAGCCCGGAGAGCCGGUUCUCCUGAGCCACCUCCCUGCGGGGCUUUUUCGGUGCGCUGUUCCCAGGUGCUCUAUCCUACCUGGGCCAGGGAGUGCCGCCUCGCAGGGACGCGGGACCCGCUGCGUGGCCCCGAGGAGCGGCCCCGAGCGCGCGCGGCGGCUGCCCGGAGGCCCAAGGCCCGGCGUGCGACUGUUGCUGCGAAUGGUUAGAACAGCUCAGGAAGUCGCGCCCCGCCGUCCUUUUUGGCGCCUGGUGUUCGGAUUAAUCAUUUGUAUAGCGCGUUUGGAUAAACUGAGAACUUUAUGAGCGCGUUUGCCAGGGAUUCUGCAGCGUCAUCCGUGUUAGAAUCGAAUCUCAGAGCUCCCCCUUUUCACAGAGGCUUGCCUUUUCUUUUUUAAGGAAGUCGGAUCCCUGGUGUCUGAUUUUUUUAAAUUUAAAGUUUAAUCUGCCUAACUAGGUUACACGGACAGGAUUUUUUUGUUUUAUUUUGUUUUCUAAUGUAUUCCCAGGGCUUGGAACAGAGCCAGAAAUAUACUAGGCAUUCAACAAAUAUUUGUUGAAUGAUUUUAGUGAGUAACACCCAACCAUUUUUGUAGUUCUUUGUCUCCUGAGCUGGGCAGAGUUCAUCACCGCAAAGUUCAGUCAAAAGCUACCAGGGAAGUUGCUCCAAUUGGAACAAAACAGGAGGAAAGUGGUUUCAUCUUUGGCUACCACAACCAGCUCUGCCCAGUCUGGAAAUCCUGCUUUAAAAGCCUAACGUGUGGGGCCAGCCUGGUGGCGCAGUGGUUACAACUAAGUGGACAUUCAUUAACCAAUAGAGGAUUCCCUACCCAGCACAACAGGAUGCCUAAAAGAUCUGUGCAGCCAUACAGCUGAAGAAGGACCCAAUUGCUGGAGAAUCUCUCAACUCAAGGGGGUUCAGGAGAACUGGCUUUCUCCACGGCAAGCUGAAGCCCAAGGUGUUUCUGUCUACAAGUCACUCUCUCCACCUCACCCCAUCAAUGGUAUAUUCCCUUUUAUUUCUUCCUGUCCCUUGUUCAUGACAGGGAUGGCAGUUACC